ensembl:lncRNA
GAUUGAUUGAGGAUGCCUGCUCCCAUUUUGUGGGAAUCGGCUGUUUGGUGUCUUGUAUUUUCCAUACCAGACUGAGGUUAUUAUUUUGCCUCCUGGCGUGAAGCAAUACGAAUCUACAUCUUUAGGGGCCGAUGAAUAAACGAGAUGAUGAACGAGAACGAGGAAGUCGCGCUUGUGGGAUGGGGAGUUCACAAUAACAGCUGAAAUGUCCACUCAAUCCACGCCGCCUGUCAUUGAAUGACAGUCACUGAGCGGAAGACAGAGAGGCGUCUCCACCGUGCGGCGCCACGAUUGAUGCGACACAGUACACCUGAGGAGUGGACUGAUACCUGCGGAGAGUAGACUCUUCUCCAAAACCAGCUCGCCAACAUGGGAUUAUCACCUUCUAGUCUCCUAGAUGAACAUGGAUCCAACUACAUACGAGCGCCAUUGUCUUGGGUCUGCUUCUGGGAUUAGGUCCAUUGUCCUCGGUGGUGGUCCAAACAGAGGAUCUGCUUUGGGAAAGUCUUAUUCCUGGUCGUACCGUUGGUUGUGACCCCUUGAGCAAGAGAGAGAGUGAGAGUCAGAGUGAGAGAGAGCGAGAGCCAAAGAGACAGAGACUGGAUGACCUUGGGCUCAAUAAAGAGAAAAUGUAAAGCUUCCAAAGCUCAGUGAAACCGGGAGCAGUAUCACACCCCCAAAAAAUGUGAGCUUAGCAGCUCAGGUAUGGCUGUGGCUAGGACCAG